AUUCAGUCUGGAGCGGAGGGAGAGCGUCUCGUCGGCAUCGUGGGUCCCCUGUCAACAGGGGCUCGCCGGCGUCGCCAAAAGCUCUCUCCGGACAGACGCACUUGUCUCGCCCCCGAAGGACGCCGCAGCCGGUCGGGCAGAGCAAGCUCGGCGGCCAGGAAGGCGGAAGCCGGCAGGUCGCCGGAGGAGCCGCCCCCCCUCUCGAGGGGGGUGUCGGACCUCCGGUAUUUUAGCCGUUCCGUCGGUGGUCGCCGCCCGACCGAGGCGUCGCCAGGCCCUCAGCGGGCCGAGCCGCCUCCCCCCAAGAUGGGAGCCGGGACAGAGGGGCGCGGAGGGAGCGCGCAGGGCGUCGCACCCCGAUCGGGGUGGACGUCCCUCGCGUCGAGCUUCCUCGUCGGCGCCCACGAACCCGCGGGAGGCCGCGGGCUAGCGGCGAAGUAGGUCGGUCACCCACCCGACCCGGUCUUGAAACACGGACCAAGGAGUCUAACAUGUGCGCGAGUCAGUGGGACUUGGACAGGCCCACAGGCGCAAUGAAAGCAAAGGUCGGCCUUCCCUUCGGGGUCGGUCGCCGAGUUGGGAUCCCCGUCUCUGAGGCGGGGCGCACCAACGACCCGUCCCGUCCGCCACGGCGGCGGGGCGGAGUGUGAGCGUACACGUUGGGACCCGAAAGAUGGUGAACUAUGCCCGAACAGGACGAGGCCAGAGGAAACUCUGGUGGAGGUCCGCAGCGGUUCUGACGUGCAAAU
rnacentral:rRNA from 1 species